rnacentral:rRNA from 1 species
UACGUAGGGGGCAAGCGUUGUCCGGAUUUAUUGGGCGUAAAGAGCUCGUAGGUGGUUCGGUAAGUCGGAUGUGAAAUCUCCAGGCUCAACCUGGAGGGGUCAUUCGAUACUGCCGUGACUAGAGUUCGGUAGGGGAGUGUGGAAUUCCUGGUGGAGCGGUGAAAUGCGCAGAUAUCAGGAGGAACACCGGUGGCGAAGGCGGCUUGCUGGGCCUUACCUGACGCUGAGGAGCGAAAGCGUGGGGAGCGGACAGG